AGGAAGGCCACAGGGGGGCGAUGUGUCAGCAGAGAAAACUGUUACAAGAGAAAGCCGUAAAGGCGGAGUAAAGACAAAAUCCUGCUCCUGUUCAAAAAGUUACUUUUGUGUGUGUAAGAAAUACAGCGCUAUUUCAAAACUACAAAGAUGAAAACCUCCAGGAGCUCUGAAGAUGGGAAUCCAUCUAGCCAUUGCCAUCAAGUGCUUCUUGUUUACAGCAUGGAACAGAAAGGCUGUCCCUGGGCCCAUUUCCUUUGCCUAUUUUACUCAUGGCACAGCUGAAGAGGAAGUAUGGAGUGCCUUGAAGACUUGGAAAGCUGCAGAUUAAGCCCAGCCAUCAGCCCAGAAACCAUGCAGCCACUCGCUCACUCCUCCCGCUUCCUCCCCCCGCUCCUGGAGGGAUGGAGAGGAGAAUCGAAAAAAUACAGCUCCCACGGGUUGAGAUA